rnacentral:tRNA from 1 species
CAGAGCAUAGCUAAAAGAGAAUAGUACCUCCCUUACACUGAGAUGUUGUCCGUUCAAUUCGGACUGCCCUGA